rnacentral:tRNA from 1 species
GAAAAGCAGCGGAGUGGUUAACGCGCUGGCCUGCUAAGCCAGUCUCUUCGGAGGCGAGAGUUCGAAUCUCUCAGGUGUCGCGCUUCUCU